AUACGAAAGGUGCAAGCGUUGUUCGGAUUUACUGGGCGUAAAGAGAUCGUAGGUGGUUUAUUAAGUCGGAUGUGAAAUCCCGGGGCUCAACCUCGGAACUGCAUUCGAUACUGGUAGACUAGAGUUUGGGAGGGGUAAGCGGAAUUCCGUGUGUAGCAGUGAAAUGCGUAGAUAUAUGGAGGAACACCUGAGGCGAAGGCGGCUUACUGGACCAAUACUGACACUCAGGAUCGAAAGCAUGGGUAGCAAACAGGAUUAGAAACCCCAGUAGUCC
rnacentral:rRNA from 1 species